AGAAAAAAAUGUGGGAAAUGAUAGAGUUUCUUAGGUCUAGGAAAGGGGAAACUGUGAAGAUUUCUGAAAUUCUGUUUGGUACCAUUUUAAACACGUUAGGGAACCUUUUCUUUUCAAAAGAUUUAUGUCAUUUGGAUUAUGAAAGAAACACCAGUGAGAUCAAAUGUGUUUUUAGAAAAUUUAUAGAAUUGGGAGCUAUGCCAAAUAUAUCAGAUUUCUAUCCUUUAUUUGAGGCUCUGGAUCUGCAGGGAUUGAGAAAGCAGACGGAAAUAUAUCAGAGUCGAUUGAUCAACAUCUGGAGUGAAAUUGUCAAGGAAAAAAGGCAUGCAAUUAGCCGUCAUAGCUCGGAUUUUUUGGAUGUCAUGAUUGAUAGUGGAUUCUCAGAUUUACAGAUCAAUAUCUUAUUGACAGUAAUUUAUUUAUCACCUCUAAAUCAAUUUCUUAAAACUAAUAGACAAAUUUGAUGAAAUAGGCGUGAGUUUUGUUUUUAAAAGAUGAUUGAGAUGGACAUGACACAAUUCUGUUCUUCAAUCUCAGGAAUUAAUAGGUGCGGGUUCUGACACCACUACCGCAACAACUGAAUGGGCAAUGACAGAGUUGCUAAGGAACAAGGGCGCUAUGCACAAACUUCAGGCUGAGCUUACAAGUCAAUUCGGGGAAAAUGAUAUUAUCACAGAAUCAAACAUCACUGAACUUCCAUAUUUGGCUGCUUGUGUUAAGGAGACAUUGAGACUCCAUUCGCCUACUCCCUUCUUGAUUCCUCGUCGUGCAUCUGAGACAUGUAAGAUUAUGGAUUACACCAUCCCAAAAAACUCGAAAUUGUUUGUGAACGCUUGGGCAAUAGGGCGUGACUCCAACACUUGGGAAGAUGCAUUAUCUUUCAAGCCUGAGCGAUUUCUAGACUCUAAUGUGGACUUCAGGGGUCAAGAUUUUGGGCUCAUACCAUUUGGUGCAGGGAGGAGAAUAUGCCCUGGCUUAGGUUUUGCUAGACAAGAAAUUCACUUAAUUUUAGCUAGUUUGAUCCAUUACUUUGAAUGGUCACUUCCUAAUGGUGAGGAUCCAAUGCAGUUAGAUAUGGAAGACAAGUUUGGUGUUACUCUACAGAAAGAAAAGCCUCUACUCAUUGUUCCUAUGUAAUAUGAGUAUUUUUUUUAUAGUCUAUAUCCAAGAUAUAAUGUCACUUGGAGUACAAAAUAAAUGAUUUAUUGUGCGACAAGUAAAAUCGUAAAAAUAUUAAGUAUAACUUGUGUCUUUGGGGUAUAAAGAUUUUUCGCAAAAGUCGUGACAGUAUUGUAUGGAGAUGUGUUCUCCUAUGGUGGAUACAAUGAAAUUUCUUUUAGUUUGACAAUAUAUGAAAAACUUGAAUAAGAUAAUAAAUGAUUAUUAUAUGUAGCUAGACAGUACACAUUAUAUGAAAAUCCUUGAAUGAUUUAAAAUGUUAUAAAACUAUUCGAUUGAAUAGUACCCCUAUGAUUGUGAGAUCAUUUUAUAUAAAUAAAGAUUAAUUUCAGUCACAUUAGAAUGAAACGAAAAUAUAAUUUUACUGCAAUUGGUGCACUUAUGUAUCAUGAAAAUAUUAGAGUGAAACAAAUAUUGAUACAAAUUAUUUAUUUUGAUCAAUCAUGUCAAGGUUUAUUGAUUAUGAAAUUUGAUCUCUAGAAAGUUGUAUGUCUUCAUGUGGAAAUAUUGUCAUAUCAAAUCAUUUCACAAGCCAAUCAAUUUUAUAUAUCGAAAUAGUUCAUCUUCCUCACUGACUAAUUUUUUUUAUAAAUAUCGAUAUUGUAUAAAUAGUUAUGUUAGGUAUAUAUAAUGUACAUAUGCAUUCAUAUAUAUUUUUAUAUAUAUAUCGAAAUAGUUCAUCUUCCUCAACAAACUAAUUUUCUUAUUUAGAUCCCGAACUAUUCGAAUUUCUUUUAAGCUGUUACAACUUUUAGAGAUGAGCUCCUAUUAAUAUUUUAAAUUUUUUGAUAUCUUAUUCACUCAAAAUAAUUCACAUUUACUACAUGUCUGAGUUUUAAAAUUUGUGUUAAGCGCUGAAUAUAUAAAGAAUUUUUUGCUUGACUAUUAUUAAUACAAUAAAACAAAAUAGCGGUUGGUGAGUAUGACAAGUUGGAAUAUUUUGGUGUUUUAUAUAUGUCUAUUGGCCAAUUAUGAAAUAUCUUCUCAUUAUACUUGUGUUGAUUUAAUGGAGUAUUAUAUGCUGCAAGCAUCCCUUCUUUUCUUGAUUCCAUUCUUCUUCCUCAUCGUUAAACAACUCAUACCAAAAUCUGGAAAUCUUCCACCAGGUCCUCGACCAUGGCCUGUGUUAGGAAAUAUUCUCCAACUGGGAAAAAACCCCCAUAUUUCACUGGCAAAAUUUGCCGAAAUUCAUGGGCCAUUGAUUUCUGUCAAGCUGGGAACUCAACUGGUUGUGGUAGCUUCGUCCCCUCAUUCUGCAGCUGAAAUCCUUAAGACUCAAGAUCGUCUUCUCUCAGCCCGGUCUCCGCCCAGUGUUGUUCCAUAUGAACUAUCUGUUAUUGAUCAACACUCAAUUGUCUUUUCUAGUGAUUUGGGCAAUCACUGGAAGUUCUUGCGGGCAUUUUGUCGAACACAUUUGUUCUCACCCAAAGCGGUAGAGUCACAGGCUGCUCUGAGGGAUAAAAAAGUGUCGGAAAUGAUACAUUUUCUUAGGUCUAAGAAAGGGGAAACUGUGAAGAUUUCUGAAAUUCUGUUUGGUACCAUUUUAAACACGUUAGGGAACCUUUUCUUUUCAAAAGAUUUAGUAUGUGGUUUGGAUUAUGAAAGAAACCCCAGUGGGAUCAAACGUGUUUUUAGAAAAUAUAUAGAAUUGGGAGCUAUGCCAAAUAUAUCAGAUUUCUAUCCUUUAUUUGAGGCUCUGGAUCUGCAG
rnacentral:lncRNA from 1 species